CUCGUGUCGUGAGAUGUCGGUUAAGUCCGCUAACCGAGCGCAACCCUCGCUGUGUGUUACAAGUGUCACACGGAACUGCCGGUCAUAAACCGGAGGAAGUGGGAUGACGUCAAAUCAUCAUGCCCUUAUGACCUGGGCUACACACGUGCUACAAUGGUUGGUACAACGAGUUGCGAGUCGGUGACGGCGAGCUAAUCUCUUAAAGCCAAUCUCAGUUCGGAUUGUAGGCUGCAACUCGCCUACAUGAAGUCGGAAUCGCUAGUAAUCGCGGAUCAGCACGCCGCGGUGAAUACGUUCCCGGGCCUU
rnacentral:rRNA from 1 species